rnacentral:rRNA from 1 species
GCUACGGGAGGCUGCAGUGGGGAAUAUUGGGCAAUGGGCGCAAGCCUGACCCAGCAACGCCGCGUGAGCGAUGAAGGUCUUCGGAUUGUAACGCUCUGUCGCAGGGGACGAAGUAUGACGGUACCCUGUAAGAAAGCCCCGGCAAACUACGUGCCAGCAGCCGCGGUAAUACGUAGGGGGCUAGCGUUGUCCGGAAUUACUGGGCGUAAAGGGAGUGUAGACGGCUUGUCAAGUUAUGUGUGAAAGCCUGCGGUUUAACCGUAGAAUUGCACUUAAAACUGACUCGCUAGAGUGCAGGAGAGGUGAGUGGAAUUCCUAGUGUAGCGGUGGAAUGCGUAGAGAUUAGGAGGAACACCAGAGGCGAAGGCGGCUCACUGGACUGUAACUGACGUUGAGGCUCGAAAGCGUGGGGAGCAAACAGGAUUAGAUACCCGAGUAGGC